CCAGAAAAUCAAGCUUAAGAUGCAUGCGGACCACAUGAAACCAGCACUUACUAUUCCAAUGGAGCAAAAUCUUUUCCCACUGCACUCGAUGGAUAAACAAGUUUCAAGUGAGAUUGGGACUUCUAAGGAUUCCUUAUGGUUCAGGUUACUCCUACAAGUUUGUUCAUAUUUUCCAAGAGGACAACUCUCACAUGAGUUGCACACAUGUGGACUGAUGCCAGUGGAACCAGUGGAAUGUUCCGGAUACACAUUCACUGUAUUCUGAAGGUGUUCUGAAGUUUUCAUAAGGUAUGAUAUAUGCCAAUGGGAGAGACCAGGAAAUGAGUGGAAACUUAAAAUAAAUUCAACUUGUCCAGUACUCACAGCAGACUCUCACAACACUCUAUGAACAUUAUUCUGUCCAUUCCUCAAAAGGAGAAACUGUGGCUGACAGAAGUGGCCAUCCUUCCCUUGGAGAUUGAAAAGGGCAGGCAGAGUCAUCUCAAAGCUCUGCUGAUUCAACAUUGGCAGCAUUAAUAACAGUUAAAAACAGUUU
rnacentral:lncRNA from 1 species